CCUACGGGGGGCAGCAGUGGGGAAUAUUGGACAAUGGGGGGAACCCUGAUCCAGCCAUGCCGCGUGUGUGAAGAAGGCCCUCGGGUUGUAAAGCACUUUCAGUGAGGAAGAACGCCUUGUGGUUAAUACCCAUCAGGAAAGACAUCACUCACAGAAGAAGCACCGGCUAACUCCGUGCCAGCAGCCGCGGUAAUACGGAGGGUGCGAGCGUUAAUCGGAAUUACUGGGCGUAAAGCGCGCGUAGGUGGCUUGAUAAGCCGGUUGUGAAAGCCCCGGGCUCAACCUGGGAACGGCAUCCGGAACUGUCAAGCUAGAGUGUAGGAGAGGAAGGUAGAAUUCCCGGUGUAGCGGUGAAAUGCGUAGAGAUCGGGAGGAAUACCAGUGGCGAAGGCGGCCUUCUGGACUGACACUGACACUGAGGUGCGAAAGCGUGGGUAGCAAACAGGAUUAGAUACCCUGGUAGUC
rnacentral:rRNA from 1 species